GCAAUCAGUUAAAACUUUCAACAAUGGAUCUCUUGGUUCCGGCAUCGAUAAAGAACGCAGCGAAAUGCGAUAACUAGUGUGAAUUGCAGAAUUCCGUGAAUCAUCGAGUCUUUGAACGCACAUUGCGCCCCCUGGUAUUCCGGGGGGCAUGCCUGUCCGAGCGUCAUU
rnacentral:rRNA from 1 species